AUGGCAGUAAUCCUGGUGGUUGGAGUGAUGGCUCUUUCAAUGAGUUCCAGAAUAACUGGGAUGAGCAGAUUGUGAUCCCUGGGGGACAGGGUCCAGGCAGUGGGAAUGACUACGACAAAGAAACCAACGGUCUGACCUGCUACUCCUGUAGCUACUGUAAUGUGGAACCAUUCAAACCCGAGGACUCGGGGGUAGGAACAGAGACGGGGUGUCAUGUCUGCUCCAAGGAGUGGGACGAUGAAUAUCAGGUUGCCAGAAGAAAAUGUUACUCCCAGAUUGAGUAUUAUAGAGUGCUACAAAGCCUGGGAACAGUGUUGGAGCCAGUCACAGACUACAUUGGUUGUAAGAAAUUUAUCACCACCUACCAGCGAGCCGUUAACUACUGCUUCUGUAAAGGCAACAAGUGCAAUGCUGGCAAUCAUGUUUUAUACAGUCCAUUAGUUGUGAUUUUUAGUCUUUUAUUAGUGAGAUUUUUAUACAAGCUAUGAAAACUGUUGGAAAAGAAGCUGUUUUAUCUACAAGGUUGUGCCAUCGUUUUUGAUUGAAAUAUAUGUGUAUCAUGACUUCAG